CGUCAUUAUAAAAUGGGCGGAACAUCCGGAGCUUUGCCUGGUCCGACAACAAAGACAGAGGAGCGAUUUAAUGCAGGGUCAGGUGUAGAUUUGCUAGAAAAGCAUAAAUGAAGACUACUUCAGCAGUCUGGAAACGCACUGUGUUUGGCAGACUGAUAAACAGACACACAGUUGUUGUCUUGGGGGCAUGGUGGCUCCAAAAUUCCUCCAAGUGCAUAGCAGCUACACAUCCAGCAAGUCACAAAAGAGCCAAGGACAACAUCAAAGGACCUACAGGCCUCUCUUGGAUCAAUAAAGGUCACUGUUCAUGACUCCGCUAUCAGAAAAACACUUGGCAAUCAAAAAUGACAUCCAUGGAAGAGGUGAGGUGAAAACCACUCCUAACUCGUCAAACUCAUCUGAAUUUUGCCAAAACACACCUUGAUGAUCUUAAACCUUAUGUUCUGUGGAUUGAUAAGUUGAAAGUGGAACUGUUUGGAAGACAGGUCCUGUUAAAUCUGGCGUAAAGCAAACACUGAAUUCCUCAAAAAAAUCAUACCUACGGUCAAGCGUGGGGGUGGAAGUGUGAUGGUGUGGGGAUGCUUUGCUGCUUCAGGGUCUGGGCAACUUGCAGUAAUUAAGGGAAACAUGAAUUCUGCUCUCUACCAGAAAAUCCUAAAGGAGAAUGUCUGGUCGUCAGUUCGUAAGUUGAAAUUCAAGCACAACUGAAUUAUGCAGUAAGACAAUGAUCCGAAGCAGAGGAGUAAAUCCUAGUCGUAGAAGUAAGUG
ensembl:lncRNA